AGAGGGGGACAACAGUUGGAAACGACUGCUAAUACCGCAUAAGCCCACGGGUCGGCAUCGACCAGAGGGAAAAGGAGCAAUCCGCUUUGAGAUGGCCUCGCGUCCGAUUAGCUAGUUGGUGAGGUAACGGCCCACCAAGGCAACGAUCGGUAGCCGGACUGAGAGGUUGAACGGCCACAUUGGGACUGAGACACGGCCCAGACUCCUACGGGAGGCAGCAGUGCGGAAUAUUGCACAAUGGGGGAAACCCUGAUGCAGCGACGCCGCGUGGAGGAAGAAGGUCUUCGGAUUGUAAACUCCUGUUGUUGAGGAAGAUAAUGACGGUACUCAACAAGGAAGUGACGGCUAACUACGUGCCAGCAGCCGCGGUAAAACGUAGGUCACAAGCGUUGUCCGGAAUUACUGGGUGUAAAGGGAGCGCAGGCGGGAAGACAAGUUGGAAGUGAAAUCCAUGGGCUCAACCCAUGAACUGCUUUCAAAACUGUUUUUCUUGAGUAGUGCAGAGGUAGGCGGAAUUCCCGGUGUAGCGGUGGAAUGCGUAGAUAUCGGGAGGAACACCAGUGGCGAAGGCGGCCUACUGGGCACCAACUGACGCUGAGGCUCGAAAGUGUGGGUAGCAAACAGGAUUAGAUACCCUGGUAGUCCACACCGUAAACGA
rnacentral:rRNA from 1 species